CCUUUAAGACCGGCUGCACAUGACGUGGAUCUGACACACCUCCGAUGUCCUCACAACUCUUAACGGUCAUUUAAGACUUUAUUUAACUCAUUUAAGACUGUGCUUACGAGGAUACUCGACAAAGCGGACAUUUUGGCAUACUUUUUUUCUCCUCCUCAAAUCCAUCGUUUUGGGUUGGAGAUUGGGCAGACAACUUCUGGAAGCCAUCUUCUCCAUAUAGUGGUUAGGAUAGUGCUACAUUAAGUUUCUCUGGACCACCCAUAUCCUCAUUUUCACUGGCUGUGGGCGGCUCCUGAGGCCAGUAUGGCUUCCCAUGACCAGAAACCGCAUCAACUGCAGAACAACAUGGGAACAGUUAUCUAACACCCAUUUAGAUAUUUUAUGUCAGGAAUGAAUAUCUUCUGGUAACUAUAUAUCUAAAUUUGUUUAUUUUUUGCUUGAGUAAACCAUGUAAAAGAGCAGGUCAGAGGCCACAGAAGAGGCCGCAGGCACCUUUAGGAGUGCU